AAGCAAGCAGAAUAAAUAGUUGGGCUAAUUUUUGUCUGCAAAUAGGUCAAGAGACCAAGAGAGAGAUCAUCUCAUCACCAAUUCUACAAGAUUUCCAUUGUUUAUUAAGAACUAGACUUUAGGGAAGUUCAGUGGAAGCUCCAUUCUGUCUACUUCUAAAAGCUACUCAUUUGAAAAGUUGCUAAUACCAAUUGAAGCUGAAACCCAUUCCAAAUCUGCCGCAUAUAUAUCGUGUUGGACUGCUCUGCCUUUGCCUCUGCCUCUGCCUCUACUCGUUUAUUGCUUCAACCUGCUCCAUGACAGUGGUGGCUAUGUCGUCGUCUCUGUCAUCAUCUUCUUUAAGCAAGAAGAAGAGUUUAAGCAGCUCUAGUGAUGAUGAUCAUUCUGAUCAACUUAGGAGAGGCCCAUGGACUCUCGAAGAAGACAAUCUCCUUGUUCAUUACAUUGCUCGUGAUGGCGAGGGUCGAUGGAAUUUGCUUGCAAAACGUGCUGGAUUGAGAAGAACAGGGAAGAGUUGCAGACUCAGAUGGCUGAAUUAUCUAAAACCCGAUGUUAAGCAUGGAAAUCUUACUCCUCAAGAACAGCUCUUGAUUCUUGAUCUCCAUUCUAAGUGGGGAAACAGGUGGUCGAAAAUUGCACAACAUUUACCAGGAAGAACGGACAACGAAAUCAAGAACUACUGGAGAACUAGAGUGCAGAAACAGGCAAGGCACCUAAAAGUAGAUGCUAAUAGUGCUGCUUUCCAGGAUAUAAUUCGUUGUUUCUGGAUCCCAAGAUUGCUUCAGAAGAUAGAAGGAUCAAAAACUUUAUCUUUAUCAUCAUCGUCAUCAAGAUCAUCUUCCAUGUUAUCCCAGAACCCAACAGUUUCUGAUCAGCCUGUGAAUUAUGCUGCUCCAGAUUUACCAUUGCCACCACCACCGCCACAACAGCUGCCACAGGAAGUUUCUGGUUAUCAUCAGGAGCAUCUUGACCAUAACUCAGACUCGGAGCAUACCUCAAAUUCUUGCAUUUCUUCCACAGAAUCAAUGAAUUUCUCACAAAUAUCUCAAUUAUCAGAAUACCCAAAUAGUCCUUUUCACGGCAUGGGCACCUUUCAGAAGGAUUGCUACUAUGUUGAUAUUGGCUGCAAUAACAUGGAAACCAUGGCCCUGGCAACUCUGUCAGUCCCUGCAGGAGAAUUUCAGAAUCCACUCUGCGAUCCCCACGUGGCGGAAAGCAAUUGGGUUGGAUGUGAUUUUGGAGGUAACAUAUGGAGCAUGGAUGAAUUUAUGGCAAUUUAGGAGCUUACAAGAAUUGUUAAUUAUAGGAUUAAUUGUGUGAUUUUGGGACAAACAAUUGCUAAUUUUCCUACCCAAUAAUUUACAGCAACUGUUAAUUCCAUGUCUGUCUAUAAGCUUUUGUUUGAAAUCAAUCCUAUUACAAUAGCUAAAUUGGACCUAUUGAUAACAAGGGGGUGAUAAUAAUAUUAAUUUUGGAGUAAUUAAAGAUAAUUUUCUGAAUUAUGUUUGUAAUUCUCUUUCUUGAAAUUGUCAGAGAAGUGGAAUGGUGGAGAAGUUCUGGGGCAUAAAUCAUUUGAUUAUUGAACAUUGUUUUGAUACAAAUUAGAAGAUCAAAUGCAAAGUC
rnacentral:misc_RNA from 1 species